rnacentral:lncRNA from 12 species
UUUUAAUUCUUAAAAUAUAUUCCCAUCCUCUAAACACAGAAACAAAAGUCUACUCUUGGUUUUUACUGUCAAAGCUCACCAGUGUUAGGAACCAGUGGAUGGACCCGCCCCCUUCAAGGCCGCCCCGCCCCCGCCUGAAGAGGCCCCGCCCCGCCCCUCCCCGCCCCGCCCCCGCCUGAAGAAGCCCCGCCCCGUAGCCACGUGGAGCGCAGGCGUCGAGGGCGAGCCCACGCCGUGUCUACUGCGCAGACUCGGAGCUGGCUGAAGCCCCGCCUCCCUCCUUGUCCCGGUCGUCGCCUCAGCACGGCUGCCCCGGUGGCGCGGCUUUGAAGAGCCCUGCCUCGUGUUCUCCGGCUCCGUGUGCUUGAAGAGAAGGAACGGGCGAAGGGGACGCGCGACUGCCGAGCCCCGCCGGCCCAGGAUUCCUCCGGGAGCCCCGGGAAGCCGUGCGUGGGACGGGCCGGGCGGCCGCGGCCUCCCUGCGACCCCUGAGAGUCGGCCCCGGGGAGCAGGAGGACCAGCCCGGCGCGGGUGGGGCNNNNNNNNNNNNNNNNNNNNNNNNNNNNNNNACGGGGGCGCAGGGGCCUGAUGCGCAUGCGCGCGCCCGGGGGAAGCGGGAGAGCCCCGAGGAUUCCGGCAGAGCUGAGUCUGUUGGCCAGACAGGGAGGGGGGGGCCUGCUGUCCUUGUCCCAGGCUUCGGACCCCCCCCCCCUUUAUAAAAAAGAUUUUAUUCAUCCAUUCAUGAGACACACACACGCACAGAUGCAGAGACACAGGCAGAGGGAGAAGCAGGCCCCGCGCAGGGAGCCCGACGCGGGACUCGAUCCGGGGUCUCCAGGGUCACGCCCUGGGCUGCAGGCAGCGCCAACCGCUGAGCCACCCGGGCUGCCCGGAAGCCUCUUUGUUACCUUUUCGGACGGAUUGAAGAUGUUGGACUAUCAUCAUAUUUCGUAUUACGUACUAUAGUGUCACUGACACUCAAGGGCCAGAGUUUGUAAGGCUUUUCCAGGUGAGUCAUUAUGUGAGUUGAGACUGACUCUUCUUUUAGUAAAGAUUAUGAAAUGCCUUUGGAAUUCGUAAGAUCAAGUUGUUUACUCUUGAGUAUUGAACUCAACGAUGCUUCUAGAAGGGCUGAGGUAGAGGACAGGUGACGAGGAUAGUAAAAAAAGAGAAGGGAACCAACAUUUCUUGAGCAUUUAAGAUUGCUUAGCACUAUGUUUGAUGUUUUAAAGAUGCUUCCUCAUUGUAUCUUCCCAUCAACUGUCAGAGAAGAUUCUCCAAUCAAUUUCAAUUAGGAAAUAGAAAUAUAAGGAAAUUAAGGUAAUACAAACAGUAAGUAGCAAAUUCAUAAUUUAAUUUUAACUCUGUCCCUCUUUGGUCUACCAUUCUGCUUCCUUGGUUUCAUUGGAAAGUGAAGAGUCUUUGUGCACCUGGAGUUCACAUAUGAUAGUAUUAUCAAAUUUCUUAUAUAUGUGUAUUAACUGACAAAUUUACAAGGCAGUACAAAAUACUGAAUUAACCUUCAACACAUUCUGAGGGCAGUUAAUGAACUGUUCUUAUGCAUAAAGAAAUUAUGAACUAUCUUACUAUUGUACAUGGAAAAUGCAUGUAAUUCUCUCUUCAUUUAUUACUGUUUUCAUUGUUAUUAUUAUAUGCUAGUGAUAGCUAUCCUCCAAAAUCCUAAAUAGGUUUGUGGAAAGCUGCCACACAAAAAAUAAAUCUGAUGACCCAUUUUAUUCCCA